UACGUAGGUGGCAAGCGUUGUCCGGAUUUAUUGGGUUUAAAGGGUGCGUAGGCGGCCCUGUAAGUCAGUGGUGAAAUACCUCAGCUCAACUGAGGGGGUGCCAUUGAUACUGCAGGGCUUGAGUACAGAUGAGGUAGGCGGAAUUGACGGUGUAGCGGUGAAAUGCGUAGAGAUUAGGAAGAACACCAGUGGCGAAGGCGGCUUUCUGGACUGUAACUGACGCUGAGGCAUGAAAGCGUGGGGAGCAAACAGG
rnacentral:rRNA from 1 species